UGCAAACUAGAUGAAACUUUACAGAAAUGAUAACUGGCAUGGGCAGAAUUGCAUUUUGGAGUUAGAAAUUUCAAAAUGGCCGCCGUAACCAUGGAAAUGACUAAAAUGUCAAAAAUUUCAAAAUGCUCCAAACUUAAUAAAACUUUACAAAAAUCAUAAUUUCCAUGUGUAGAUACGCUCUUUGACUUUGGAAAUUUCAAAAUGGCUGCCUUUUUCCUGGCAAUGGGGGGACGAGGGUGCCAUCCGUUAUUGCUAGCAAUUACAAAUCUAGUUAUUAUUAUAUUUAUUCUUCCACACUUUUUUGUCCAUACUAUUUCUCAGAAUUGGCGUAAACAAUAUUGAUGGAACUAUACCAUAAUGUUGACCACCACAUUAAAUAGUGCAGUGAGGUAUGGCAUCAUCAAGAUGGCUGCCAUUGCCAUGGAAACGAAACAAAUGUGAAAAAUUUCUGUUUUUUGUUUUGGUGAACUGUUUGAAUAUGCUUACACUCAGAAUCAUCAUAUUUUAAUACAAUGUAGGUGCCCACUAUAUACAGGUGUUGGAUGAUUUUGGCACACAUUGGACCUACUAUGUUGCCAUGGAAACUACACCAAAAAUUUCAAAAAUAUCAAAAUGCUCAAAACUUAAUGAAACUUCACAGUAACGAUGAGCAACAUUGGAAGAUGUGGAAUUUGGCGUUGGAAUUUCCAAAAUAUCUGUUGUUACCAUGAAAACAAUGCAAAAAGGUCAAAACUUUGAAUUUUCACAGAACAUUCCAGAACAUCAAUGUUAAAUUUAUUCUAGAGACAUUAAAUGGUAUAUGAUGGUAUAUAUGAUUAUGGAGGGAAAAAAUUGCAGCGGGGGUUUGACUUUGGAAUAUUCAAAAUGGCCGCCGUUACCAUGGGAACAGCAAAAUUAUGAAAAACUUCAAAAUGCUUUAAAUUUAAUGAAACUUAUAACAAAUUUUGCCUAGCUUAUGUAGACUUAACUUUUGAGUUUCUAAUUUUCAAAAUGGCCGCCGUUGCCAUGGAAACAGCAAACAUUUUCUAAAUAGCUGCCGCUGGCUUGGCAAUAGGGAAAGGGUGCCAUCCGCUAUUGCUUGCAAUGGCAAAUCUAGUUUUUAUGGCACCCUCAACGGAGUUGGGGUGACAUAUUGUUAUUGUUCGUUUCUUUUUAUGGCACCCUCAACGGAGUUGGGGUGACGUAUUGUUAUUCUACGUUUCUUUUUUUUCUUAUUAUUAUUAUUUUUCUUGCAACACAUUUUGUCCAGGCGAUUUCUCCAAAUCUAAAGUACCAAAGUUGAUGGAACUUAACUAUAUUAAGGACCCCCAUGUGCAGAGUUGCAGGAAGCAUGGAAUGGUUCAAGAUGGCUGCCGUUUCCAUGGAAACAGAACAAAUGUGAAAAAAUCCAGUUUUUUGUUUUGGUGAACUGUUUGGAUAUGCUUUAACUCAGAAUCAUUAUAUUUAAAUACAGUGGAGCUGCCCACUAUAUACAGGUGUUGGGUGAUUUUGGCACUCAUUGGAACUACUAUGUUGCCAUGGAAACUACACCAAAAAUUCCAAAAAUAUGGAAAUGCUCCAAAUUUUUUGAAACUUCACAGUAACGAUGAGCAACAUUGGAAGAUGUGGAAUUUGGCGUUGGAAUUUCCAAAAUAUCUGUUGUUACCAUGGAAAUAAUGCAAAAAGGUCAAAACUUUGAAUUUUCACAGAACAUUCCAGAACAUCAAUGUUAAAUUUAUUCUAGAGACAUUAAAUGGUAUAUGAUGGUAUAUAUGAUUAUGGAGGGAAAAAACUGCACUUUUGGAAUAUUCAAAAUGGCCGCCGUUACCAUGGGAACAGCAAAAAUUAUGAAAAACUUCAAAAUGCUUUAAAUUUAAUGAAACUUAUAACAAAUGUUGCCUAGCUUAUGUAGACUUAACUUUUGAGUUUCGAAUUUUCAAAAUGGCCGCCGUUGCCAUGGAAACAGCAAAAAUAUUCUAAAUGGCUGUCGCUGGCCUGGCAAUGGGGAAAGGGUGCCAUCCGCUAUUGCUUGCAAUGGCAAAUCUAGUUUCUUAUUAUUAUUAUUAUAUUUAUUCUUCCACACUUUUUUGUCCAUUCUAUUUCUCGGAAUUGGCUUGAACAAUAUUGAUGGAACUAUACCAUAAUGUAGACCACCACAUUCUAUAGUGCAGUGGGGUAUGGCACCAUCAAGAUGGCUGCCGUUGCCAUGGAAACGAAACAAAUGUGAAAAAUUUCUGUUUUUUGUUUUGGUGAACUGUUUGAAUAUGCUUAAACUCAGAAUCAUCAUAUUUCAAUACAAUGAAGGUGCCCACUAUAUACAGGUGUUGGAUGAUUUUGGCACUCAUUGGACCUACUAUGUUGCCAUGGAAACUAAACCAAAAAUUUCAAAAAUAUCAAAAUGCUCCAAACUUUAUGAAACUUCACAGUUACGAUGAGCAACAUUGGAAGAUGUGGAAUUUGGCGUUGGAAUUUCCAAAAUAUCUGUAGAUACCAUGGAAACAAUGCAAAAAGGUCAAAACUUUGAAUUUUCACAGAACAUUCCAGAACAUCAAUGUUAAAUGUAUUCUAGAGACAUUAAAUGGUAUAUGAUGGUAUAUAUGAUAAUGGAGGGGGGAAAUUGCAGCGGGGGUUUGACUUUGGAAUAUUCAAAAUGGCCGCCGUUACCAUGGGAACAGCAAAAAUUUCAAAAAUUUCAAAGUUCUCCAAACUUAAUGAAACUUUUCAAAAUUGACAAUUGGCAUGAGUAGAUGCACUCUAUGAUUUUGGAAUUUUCAAAAUGGCUGCCGCUCGCCUGGCAAUGGGGGAAGGGUGCCAUCCGCUAUUGCUUGCAAUGGCAAAUCUAGUUCUUAUUUUUAUUCUUCCACACAUUUUGUCCACGCUAUUUCUCGGAAUUGGUCAGACCAAUGUUGAUGGAACUAUACCAUAAUAUGAACCUCCAUGUGAAGUUGUGCAAGAGACAUUGGAAUGGUAAAAAAUGGCCGCCGUUACCAUGGAAACUGCAAAAAUGUAAAAAAAAAUCCAAAUUCUAAAUCUUUUAUUAUAAGAGCCAACCUAAUGAAACUUUAUGUAAAUGUUGGCAGUGGUGCCCUGAGGUACCAACACGACUUAGCUUCUGCAAAAUCUGUACCAUUGCCAUGGAAACUGGAGAAAAGUUUAACAUUGAACCUAUGGGAAAAAACUUCAAACCAGCCUUUUCUAAAGGAAUAUAAGAUCAAACUCAAAGAAACUUUAUGUAUAUAUAACAUGGCAU
rnacentral:lncRNA from 1 species